rnacentral:misc_RNA from 1 species
AUUAGGGUUUCGAUCCACAAGCAUCCCCUCCCACAAGGUUGUGAAUCAUGGCUUUCGCGAACAAGAUCGGGAGUCUCAGGGGCCUAUUGAAGCGGUCGGUGACAUCGAAUCCGUCGCUGCUCCAAGCGAUCCGAUCGAUGUCGUCCUCGAAAGUGUUUGUUGGAGGUGUAUCAUGGGGGACUGAUGAUAUGAGUUUGAGGGAAGCAUUCAGUCACUACGGUGAAGUUGUUGAAGCUAGGAUUAUUGUUGAUCGGGAGUCGGGUAGGUCGCGAGGGUUUGGUUUCGUGACGUUCACCACCAGCGAAGAGGCUUCUGCAGCUAUUGCUGGCAUGGAUGGGAAGGACCUUCAUGGCCGGUCUGUCAGAGUUAACUAUGCUAAUGAGCGGGGUGGUGGUGGUGGCGG